AUGGAAAAUCAUGAGAGUUUGGAGCGUGACUCAAAGACUCGAGAGUCCGAGCUUGCCUCAGCUCUCGAAAGUGCCAAAACUGCCAAGGCCGAUGCCCAUAAGUCCCUUCAGGAGAUUGAGUUGGUGAGGAAGAUAGCGGCGGGUAAGGCAUUUUUCAUGCAAAGCAAGCAUGUGAAUGUAAAUUACGUGUUACUUACCCGAAUUCGGAGCUCUCCAGGGGCGUUUGCAGAUCUGCCUUGCAGCGUGUCUGAUGCCGCCGCAUUCUACCGAGCCGAGGAGGGGAGCUCAACGGAGAAGGUCUUCUGGUCUCAGUAUGCUGAGGCCGGCCAUCCGGUGCCCCCUAGCGACCAGCUGAAGCAGCUGGUCGAGCUCCACAAGGUGGCCGAGCAGGCCAUGAAGGGCCUCAUAGUCGGGCUGUGGCCUGGAGAGGCCAUGCCUGGGAGCUAUUUCGGCCUCGUGCAACGGUUGGUGGAUGCGUGCCCCUGGGUGGAGGUUAUCAGACGCUUCGCCUGUAUUGAAGGUGCUCGUCGGGCCCUUGCCCGCGCGAAGGUGCAUUGGGGCAAGCUGGAUGCGGAGAAGCUAAUCACUGACGCGCCACCAGCGGGCAAGGAAUAUCAUACGCCCGAGAUGUACUAUAAGACUGUCCUGAAGGGUGCCCGCAAGAUUGCGGAUGAGUGCCCCAGGGAUGUAAUUAUUGAGUAA
rnacentral:rRNA from 1 species